rnacentral:rRNA from 1 species
GCCAGCCGCCGCGGUAACACCGGCGGCCCGAGUGGUGAUCGUGAUUAUUGGGUCUAAAGGGUCCGUAGCCGGUUUGGUCAGUACCUCCGGGAAAGUCUGAUAGCUCAACGUAUUAGGCUUUCGGGGGAUACUGCCAGACUUGGAACCGGGAGAGGUAAGAGGUACUACAGGGGUAGGAGUGAAAUCUUGUAAUCCCUGUGGGACCACCUGUGGCGAAGGCGUCUUACCAGAACGGGUUCGACGGUGAGGACGAAAGCUGGGGGCACGAACCGGAUUAGAUACCCGGGUAGUCCCAGCCGUAAACGAUGCUCGCUAGGUGUCAGGCAUGGCGCGACCGUGUCUGGUGCCGCAGGGAAGCCGUGAAGCGAGCCACCUGGGAAGUACGGCCGCAAGGCUGAAACUUAAAGGAAUUGGCGGGGGAGCACAACAACGGGUGGAGCCCUGCGGUUUAAUUGGACUCAACGCCGGACAACUCACCGGGGGCGACAGCAAUAUGUAGGCCAAGCUGAAGACUUUGCCUGAAUCGCUGAGAGGAGGUGCAUGG